rnacentral:rRNA from 1 species
CACGUAGGGCGCAAGCGUUGUCCGGAAUUAUUGGGCGUAAAGAGCUCGUAGGUGGUUUGUUACGUCUGCUGUGAAAACCUAGGGCUUAACCCUGGGCUUGCAGUGGAUACGGGCAGACUAGAGGUAGGUAGGGGAGAAUGGAAUUCCUGGUGUAGCGGUGAAAUGCGCAGAUAUCAGGAAGAACACCCGUGGCGAAAGCGGCGCUCUGGAACGGUACUGACGCUGAGACGCGAAAGCGUGGGGAGCGAACAGG